AUUUUAAGUCGAAGAGGCAUUUAAUACACCUGACCUGCCAAGCAUCAUAGCUUAGCCUAGCCUACCUUAAACAUGCUCAGGACACUGACAUUAGCCUACAGUCAGGCAAAAUUAUCUAACACAAAGCCUAUUGUAUAAUACAGUGUUGAAUAUCUCAUGUGAUUUAUUAAAUUCUGUACUGAAAGUGAAACAGAGUGUCUGGGCAGAGAAUGGUUGCCAGUGUAUCAGUUGUUCAUCCUGGUGGUGGCGUGGCACCUGGGGGCAGCCCAGCAUCAUGAGAGAACAUCUUACUGUGUGCACAUCGCUAGCCCUGGAAAAGAUCAAGGUUUCUACUGAAUGUGUAUCACUUUCACACCAUCGUAAAGUUGAAAAAUGCUAAGUGGAACCCCGGGGGGACUAUCUGCAUUUAUCAUGAUGAAUUGGCUCAUGCAAUGGUGGAGGAGAAGAAGUCCUGCUACAGCUGCCCUCUGUGAGCCGUAGACCCAGGAGAACCGCUGGGGUCGUUCCGUCCAAGUCGGAAGCCCUGGGGACCAGGAGAGCCAAUGGUGUGAGUCCCAUCCAAGGGCAGAAGACACAUGUCCUAGGUCAGCGGUCAGGCAGAGAGAGUAGAAUUGUUCCUUUCUCGGCCUUUUUGUUCUGUUCAGGCCCUCAAGGAGCGGAGGAGGCCCACGCACACUGAGGAGGUUAAUCUGCUUUGCUGAGUCUGCUGAUUCAAAUGCUAAUCUCAUCCAGAAACCCCUUCCCAGACACCCCCAGAAAUCACGUUUGGCCAUAAUAUCUGGAUACCCCAUGAUGGCACGUCACACUCCAUCGUGAGUUACUUUGGUCUGUUGUCAUGUUUGUGGAGCCCCUGGUUUCCACUCAGUGGUUACUGGUGCUGAACAGGGAAGAACAAAUCUGACUCCAUAUUGGGUCUGUUGGUUUUGCUACAAGUUAAUCACCAAAGGGGUUGCUGCCUAUAAGCUUAGAUGAUGCAUCAUGGCCCAUCUCUGGGAACCCUGCCUCCCAGGUCAUGAGCAUUAAGCUAACAUACCUUUGUUUAGCUCACAGGAAAUAUACUGACCGGGCCCACCUGUGAAGGACUGCAGGGAGGAAGAUAUGAACACCCCCCCCUCUGGAGGCUGAUGGGAGCCAGGAAAUGCUUGGCUUUGCUCCGUCCCCCUUUUAGUAUAAAAGAAGCCUGUGUUCUAACUCAGGGAAGAUGGGUCUUUGGGGCACACGGCCACCACCUUCUCAGUCUGCUGGCUUUCCAGAUGAAGUCUCUCUCGCCUCAGCAGCUCGUCUCUCCGUAUCUUGGACUCGGCGACAAUGGGGGCUGUGAGAGCAGAACAGAUUGAUGACAGAUUUCUCCUUUUGAGGAAGAGACACUUCAGGAGGACAACGGUCUCUGCCUGGACCAGCUCUCGGCUCAAGCUGACAUGCCGGCUGAGUGCAAGAAGCUGUCGAAAUCCGUCACCAUCACCUGAGCCCCGUUAGCAGAUGGAAACGCCUGGCCCUCCAAGACUUCUGAGCAGAAGAAUUAUUGGUGGCUUUUGAGACUUUAUUUGGAAGGGAAGUGCUGGGUAAGUGCCCUUCAUCUGGGUGUCCUGGGCUGGUCAGGAAUGGGCACCUCAAAAUCCCAUCAGGUUGCCUCUGGAAGUCUUCCUAAAGUUCAGAGGUGCCCCGUGGGGUUCAAGGUCAGUGAAAAGGAAGCCACGGUCGGGGGUGUCAGGAGGUCGCUGGAGGGAGGUGGUCGUUAUGGGCCGAAUGGCGUCUCCCAAAAUUCACAUGUUGAAGUCCUAACUCACCAACUCCACUACCACCACCUGCACCUCAGAAGGUGAAUGUGCUUGGAGAUUAGGCCUUUAAAGAGGUGAUUAAGGUAAAAUGAUGUCACGUGGGUGGGACCUAAAGCCAGUGUAACUGGCAUCCUCAUUAAAAAGGGAAAUUAGGACUGACAUACACAGAGGGAGGACCCUGUGAGGACACAGGAGACGACCGUCUACAAGCCCAGGAGAGAGGCCUCGGAGAAACCAGCCCUGUGACACCUUGAUCUUGGACGUCUGGGCUCCAGAACUGUGAGCACGUAAAUUCUGUGGAUUGAGCCACGCCGUCUGGUGGUGCUUUGUUUUGGUCCACGCAGACUAACGUAGUGGGGAAGGACCCUGAGGCUUGGGGGCCGGCAAAGCCGUGGACCUCAGUCCUAAGAGGGGCCGAGGGGGAGGCACCUGGUGGUCACUUGGUGAGCAGUGGUUUCAGGGAAAGCGGUGGAGGUCAUUCUUAAAUGCUCCUACUGCGUGGUUCACUUGCUCUCGGUCAAAAGACCAGGAUGUGAUUCCAAAACCUGGAUGCAGACCCGGCGGGCCAUGGAUUUCUGAGAGAGGCAAACUCUGAACUGUGGUCCCCCCGACAAGGACAGAAAGACGGAGCAGUGACUGUCAGCCCCGAGUCCACCAGCUGGGCUGCAGCCCCUCGGAUUUUUAAAAAAUAAUUUUAAAUUGUGGCAAAAAAACACAGCAUAAAAUCUACCUUCUUAACCAUUUUCAAGUGUACAGUUCAGUUACGUUAGCUACGUUCACAUUGCUGGGCAGCACAUCUCCAGGAAGUCGUCAUCUUGCAAAACGGAAACUCUGUACUCACUGAACAACAGCUGUCCUUCCCCUCCCACAGCCCCUCAGGUUUUAAAGGGUGAACCCGCUGAGCGUGGAAUUCUGCCAGCUGGGAGAGGCUUGGCCUUGGGGCUGCUGAGUGUCCUGGACUUUUCUUCUGUACGUCGUGCGGGUCCACGUGUGAUAUCUAAGGACCGAAUUCUGACCAGUGCCUGCAGUG